AGACCCGAAACCCGGUGAUCUAGCCAUGGGCAGGUUGAAGGUUGGGUAACACUAACUGGAGGACCGAACCGACUAAUGUUGAAAAAUUAGCGGAUGACCUGUGGCUGGGGGUGAAAGGCCAAUCAAACCGGGAGAUAGCUGGUUCUCCCCGAAAGCUAUUUAGGUAGCGCCUCGUGAACUCAUCUCCGGGGGUAGAGCACUGUUUCGGCUAGGGGGCCAUCCCGGCUUACCAACCCGAUGCAAACUGCGAAUACCGGAGAAUGUUAUCACGGGAGACACACGGCGGGUGCUAACGUCCGUCGUGAAGAGGGAAACAACCCAGACCGCCAGCUAAGGUCCCAAAGUCAUGGUUAAGUGGGAAACGAUGUGGGAAGGCCCAGACAGCCAGGAUGUUGGCUUAGAAGCAGCCAUCAUUUAAAGAAAGCGUAAUAGCUCACUGGUCGAGUCGGCCUGCGCGGAAGAUGUAACGGGGCUAAACCAUGCACCGAAGCUGCGGCAGCGACACUUUAGUGUUGUUGGGUAGGGGAGCGUUCUGUAAGCCGUUGAAGGUGUCCUGUGAGGGGUGCUGGAGGUAUCAGAAGUGCGAAUGCUGACAUAAGUAACGAUAAAGCGGGUGAAAAGCCCGCUCGCCGGAAGACCAAGGGUUCCUGUCCAACGUUAAUCGGGGCAGGGUGAGUCGACCCCUAAGGCGAGGCCGAAAGGCGUAGUCGAUGGGAAACGGGUUAAUAUUCCCGUACUUGGUGUUACUGCGAAGGGGGGACGGAGAAGG
rnacentral:rRNA from 3 species